rnacentral:lncRNA from 1 species
NNNNNNGAGGUUGAUGAUGACUUCAUCUAAAUUGCCUUGCAUACCAAGUUCUGACAAAGGGAAGAAAUAGCCACACAUAUGCUGCAACACUUGUGCAACAAAUCUUCGCCAGUGGUUGAACAGGAAAAGGAAAUCUAUGCCUUUUGCAGUGCCAAUGAUUUGGAGAGAGCCAACAGAUCAUACCAGCAAUUGUUAUUUCUGCAUGGUGCCUCCAGUUGAGAAAGGUGUGUCAAAGAAGAAAAAGUGGACUGUGCAUUAUCCAAACAUUCCAUCAGCUAUACGCCCAGUACCCCACGGAGAAGGACUGCCGGUUCCUGAUGCACCAGAAUCAUUCUCACUUGAGUCAGACGAGGAAGAGGAUGAAGCUUCUGGUCCUGAACCAUCAAUGUCACAGGACGCACAUUUUCUCCCAUCCUCCUCCUCUGAACCACACCUCAUAACACAAGGUGAACUGAAUGACCUUGUCAGGGAUUUGGAACUACCCAAGAGUAAGACAGAGCUGUUGGGCUCCAGACUACAGCAGUGGAAUCUCCUGGCAGGUGAUGUUAGGGUUUCCAUGUUCCGUGACCGUCAAAAGGAUCUUGUCCCAUUCUUCUUCAUGGAAGGUGAUCUUGCAGCCUGCAACAACAUCGAUGGUGUGAUGGCAGCCCUCAACAUCGUUCACGAUCCAGAUGAGUGGAGACUGUUCGUUGAUUCAUCGAAGACUAGUCUUAAAGCUGUUUUACUGCAUAAUGGCAAUGUUUUGCCAUCAAUUCCAGUUGGUCAUGCAGUCCAUAUGAAGGAAACCUAUGACAACGUGAAACAACUUUUGAGGUGCAUAAACUGUGACCCACAUCAGUGGCAGCUUUAUGGCGAUUUGAAGGUUGUUGCUCUCUUGCUUGGUCUGCAGACUGGAUACAGAAAGUACUGCUGUUUUCUCUGCGAAUGGGAUAGUCGUGCAAGAGAUUCCCACUACAUCAAGAAAGAUUGGCCACUCCCACAGUCAUUGGAGCCUGGGAGGAAAAGUGUUCAGCAUCCACCACUUGUUGAAUCAAGGAAGAUUUUGUUACCACCCUUACACAUCAAGCUGGGUCUGAUGAAGGACU